rnacentral:rRNA from 1 species
AAUGAACGCUGGCGGCGUGGAUUAGGCAUGCAAGUCCAGGGGGAAAAUUCCCUUCGGGGGAUGAGUACACCGGCGAACUGGUUAGUAACAGGUGGGGAACGUGCCCCGAGGCCGGGGAUAACCGUCUGGAAACAGCGGCUAAGACCCGAUUCGGCCCGGCAGUCUUUCGGAUAGCCGGCGCCCAAAGGCGCUCCUUCGGGAGUGCCGCCGCGGGAUCGCCCCGCCCCCGAUUAGCUAGAUGGCGAGGUAACGGCUCACCAUGGCUGCGAUCGGUAGCUGGUCUGAGAGGACGGUCAGCAACACUGGGACUGAGAUACGGCCCAGACUCCUAC